rnacentral:rRNA from 1 species
UGGGGAAUAUUGGACAAUGGGCGCAAGCCUGAUCCAGCCAUGCCGCGUGAGUGAUGAAGGCCCUAGGGUUGUAAAGCUCUUUCACCGGUGAAGAUAAUGACGGUAACCGGAGAAGAAGCCCCGGCUAACUUCGUGCCAGCAGCCGCGGUAAUACGAAGGGGGCUAGCGUUGUUCGGAUUUACUGGGCGUAAAGCGCACGUAGGCGGACUUUUAAGUCAGGGGUGAAAUCCCGGGGCUCAACCCCGGAACUGCCUUUGAUACUGGAAGUCUUGAGUAUGGUAGAGGUGAGUUGAAUUCCGGGUGUAGAGGUGAAAGUCGUAGAUAUUCGGAGGAACACCAGUGGCGAAGGCGGCUCACUGGACCAUUACUGACGCUGAGGUGCGAAAGCGUGGGGAGCAAACAGG